GCGCGAAAACUCUCCAAUGUGCGAAAGCGUGAGAGGGGAACUCCCAGUGCUAUAGGUUCAUCCUAUGGCUUUUGCCAUGUGUAAAAAGCAUGGCGAAUAAGUGGUGGGUAAGACUGGUGCCAGCCGCCGCGGUAACACCAGCGCCACGAGUGGCUAUCGCGAUUAUUGGGCCUAAAGCGUCCGUAGUCGGUUCUGUGCAUCUUUUGUGAAAUCGCAGCGCUUAACGUUGCGGCAUGCGAAAGACACGGCA
rnacentral:rRNA from 1 species